rnacentral:rRNA from 1 species
GACGAACGCUGGCGGCGUGCUUAACACAUGCAAGUCGAGCGAAGGGGGGAACAGGUGAGUAAUGCUUACGUACCUUGCACUCCUUUUUGGGAUAAGCCUUGGAAACGGGGUCUAAUACCGAAUUAAGUGGGGUGGGAUCGCGGCCUAUCAGCUUGGUGGUGGGGUGAUGGCCUAACAAGGCGAUGGCGGGUAGCCGGCCUGAGAGGCUGCACGGCAACAUUGGGACGGAGAUACGGCCUAGACGCCUACGCGAGGCAGCAGUUGGGGAUAUGGCACAAUGGGCGACAGCGUGAUGCAGCGUCGCCGCGGGGGGGAUGAAGGCUUUCGGGUUGUUAUCCUCGGUAGCUAUCGAAGGGGUAGGUGAUGAAGAAGCGCCGGCUAACUACGUGCCAGCAGCCGCGGUAAUUC